UAAUGAAAAAGCUGUUGUUGCUGCUUUUCUUCUCUGUUGAAGAAUCUCUUGUGUUUUGAUCAAGAAACCCCUUAUAUUUGAUCAAGGAGAUUGGUGUUUGAUCCAAUCGAACCACCUUGCAGUGUGAAGCCCAGGUGUUAUUUUCUGCUGCCCUUAUGCUGCUAUUGUUCCAUCUUUUUCAUCUCUC